GAUGAAGAACGCAGUGAAAUGCGAUAAGUAAUGUGAAUUGCAGAAUUCAGUGAAUCAUCGAAUCUUUGAACGCACAUUGCGCCCCCUGGCAUUCCGGGGGGCAUGCCUGUUCGAGCGUCAUUACAACCCUCAAGCUCUGCUUGGUAUUGGGCUCUGCUGGGACCGGCAGGCCUUAAAAUCAGUGGCGGCGCCACUCGGCUUCAAGCGUAGUAAUUCUUCUCGCUUCGGAGACCCGGGUGCGUGCUAGCCAGCAACCCCCAACUUUCUUAGGUUGACCUCGGAUCAGGUAGGGAUACCCGCUGAACUUAAGCAUAUCAAUAAGCGGAGGA
rnacentral:misc_RNA from 1 species